GGAACACUAUCCGACUGGCACCGUAGAAUACAAAUGUGCCCUCAGAGCUUGGGAAGAUCCUUGGUAACAUAGCUCUAACCUGAGUUCGAAGUCCGAAUGGAACAAGCUCAAAUUUCUAUUAAACACCAGGAUCCAGGGGAGGCACCCCCCGGUGGCUUUAACGCCAACGUUCUCAACAAUAGUGGA
rnacentral:misc_RNA from 1 species